rnacentral:rRNA from 1 species
AUUGAACGCUGGCGGCAGGCUUAACACAUGCAAGUCGAGCGAGCGGCGGACGGGUGAGUAUGUCUGGGAAACUGCCUGAUGGAGGGGGAUAACUACUGGAAACGGUAGCUAAUACCGCAUACCAUCGGAUGUGCCCAGAUGGGAUUAGCUAGUAGGUGGGGUAAAGGCUCACCUAGGCGACGAUCCCUAGCUGGUCUGAGAGGAUGACCAGCCACACGGGAACUGGGACACGGUCCAGACGCCUACGGAGGGCAGCAGUGGGGAAUAUUGCACAAUGGGCGCAAGCCUGAUACAGCCAUGCCGCGGGGAUAAAGAAGGCCUUCGGGUUGUAAAGUACUUUCAUCGGGGAGGCGUUACCCGCAGAAGAAGCACCGGCUAACUCCGUGCCAGCCGCCGCGGUAAUUC